UAAUCUCAUUUUGUAAAAUAUCGAUGCAAAGAAAUGCGUCGAUAUAUAUAUAUAUAUUUAUGUAUGUAUAGCAUAUGAGAUUAAUUAAAAAUAUAUAUCUGGGCUAGAUUAAAUAAAGGGCAAAUCUCCAAAAUAGCACAUUUCCAAGUUUAUAUCACAAAAAUAGCACUCAAAAACUAAAAUGACCAAAAUAGCACAUUUCUAAGUUUAUCCUUUGAAAGUUUUAAUUUUUUUAUUUUUCAAAAUUUGAAAUCUUAUCCCCAAAACCUCAUUUCUCAACUCUAAACCCUAAACCCUAAACUCUAAACCCUAAACCCUAAACUCUAAACCCUAAACCCUAAACCAUAAACCCUAAACCCUAAAUUCUAAAUCCUAAACCCUAAACUCUAAACCCUAAACCCUAAACCCUAAAAUCUAAACCCUAAACCCUAGACUCUAAACCCUAAACCCUAAACCCUAAAUCCUAAACCCCACCCUUUAACUCUAAACCCUAAGUUUGUGACUUUUGAUAAAACAUUAAGUGCUAUUUUUGUGACUUUUGACUGUUAUCAUCUUCAUCGACUCGCUGUUCUUCGCCUUCUUUGCGCUCUAUCACUUCUUCUCGGUGGUUUUUGCGCUUCUUCUUUCACUUUCUUGGUGAUUCUCGUUCGUUGAUCGUUGCUUGGUGAUCUCGGAAUCUUGAUCCUCUGAUUCAUCUUUUGUUCACCAUGCCGAUCUCUUAUGCGAAUGCUGUUAACAAUACUCCGACGUCGGCGUCGAAUCCUCACACGACGGUGCCUCGUUCGGAGCCUACGGCGUCUAUUCAAGAUCCGAACUCCAAUCCUCUCUACGUUCAUCAUGCUGAUCAUGCUGGUAUUGCUCUUGUUUCUGAGAAGCUAGCUGGUUUAGGCAAUUUCAAUACUUGGCGUCGAUCUAUGCUUAUGGCGUUAGGAGCUCGGAACAAAGCUGUUUUUGUUGAUGGAACCUUUCCGGAAUUGCGUGAUGAUCAUCCGGACUUUGCAUCUUGGUCAAGAUGCAACAACAUUGAAAAUUAUGAUGUAUGCGUUGAUUUACAUAUCGCAAUGUUGCUCGUAUUCAAAUUUAAGCUGUCUCGUAAAAUUCAGAUCAAAUUAAAAAUAAUCUGAUAUCGCAAUGUUGCAUGCAUACGUUUAUAUUUGUGUAUAAAUGAAGAUAUAUGUGAUCAAGUGGCUGCGCGUGCGGAGGUGAACCAGUUAAACUUUAAACAAGUUGAUCAUAAGUUAUCAACUUUAGAAGUCUUAACAAACAAACAAAAACCUUUAGAAGUCCAAAAGUAAAAAGGAUCUCGACACAGAAUUAUUAAUCGUCAAAGGAAAUUUUGUUGGAAAAGAAAAAGAAAAAAUGUUUUCUGGUUAAAAAAGGAAAAUUUCUGGUUAAAAGGGGAAAAUGGCAGGUUGUACUAUUAACCUACAAAUAUUCCUGGAAUUUUGUUUCACACUUUGUCUUGAUAAUUCGUUCUGUACCUUCUUGUUAUUUGAAGCAAACCUAUGUUCUCUACUUUAAUUUUUUUUUAAAAAAUUAAAAAUAUUCAUUAUCUUCAACCCGAAAAGGGGAUAAACGGAACUUACAACUCCGGUGUGCCAGUGAAACAUGAUAAGCUAGGUUACAACAAAACAGUUAGAGGAUGUACAAGCAAACAGACUAGCAGACAAAGGAGAGAGGUCGUGGGAAGUAGGCGGGAAAGCGCGCGAGCUUCCCCUUUGGUGGACCAAAACACAUAAAUAAAGGUUUUGCUCACUGCCCAGUGGUUUAAAGUGUUUAAUUUUUUUUUUUGAACACGAAUUUAAUUGAUUAGGUGGUUAAUUGGGGGCAGUAAAAGCAUCCCCAACAAACAAUGUUUCGGAUACAAGCAGGGCAUCCUUUGCCAACCUAUCAGCUAUUACAUUUCUUUCUCGGGGAAUCCAAGAAAAAUUGACAAACUCAAAUGCAGAAGCAUAAAACAAGAUAUCUGAGACCACCCCAUAGAGCUCGGUAGGGCAGUGGCCGUCGGUGAUAGAUUUAACAAGUUGAGAGGCAUCAGAUUCCCUAAACCCUAAACUCUAAACCCUAAACCCUAAACCCUAAAAUCUAAACCCUAAACCCUAGACUCUAAACCCUAAACCCUAAACCCUAAAUCCUAAACCCCACCCUUU
rnacentral:lncRNA from 1 species